GUGAAAUGGGAGGACGACCUCUGGGCUCCCGCAAGGCAAGGAGGAACUCGGAGCAAAGAGCAACGCAUAACUUGCCCACGAAGGGGCUGCACUCAGCCCCUGCCGCCUGACCAGGCCCCUCGCGCACAGGAAGCGGAGCAGGGAAGACACCUCACCCUUCCAGAAGGAUUCUGCUUCUCAACGCCCGGACCUUUCACAUUAGCAGGUGGUGGACGGCAGCAAGGGAACUGAGCACUCAGUUGCAGGUAUUGCCCCUUGGAUCCAUCAUACGAGGGUGAAGAGAGCAUACCAUGCAGACCCAGAAAACGCUGAGUGGACUGCACAGAGGGACCCCACUGACCCUUGAGAGACUAAGACCAUCCUUAAGAAGAAGGAAAAGAAGAUCCUGGAUGAGCCCCUUGAGGAUGAAACCGCACAGUCAACUCCUGCUGCUUGGCCUCAUCAACGUGCAUAUUCCUAUGCCAACUUCCACAAUACCUCCAACUGUUGGGUAUGUGGGGCUAUGCCUCUGUCUGUGAUGGAUGGACUUCCCUGGGGGCUGUCACCACUCUGCCAAGGAGAUUUUAAACCACUCUGCUCUUUUCUGGGACACUAUCAUAAUCUCUCCCUGCUCUCUGGGUGUAAGCCAGACCUACAGUCAAUAGACUUGGGUCAUAGGGUUACAUUUGAUAUAAAUGCCAGUGUAACAAAAGCCUAACCUACAACAAGCCCUGGUAAAUCUACCUUAUUUACAUGCUAGGUGGACAAGAUCUUUGUUUCAGUGGUAUGAAUAUAUUGUUGCCUUAUUCAUACCCUCUAUAGAGACAACAGAUAUUAUGAUUAAAGUAGAGGCCUUGACUAAUUUCACAAAACAGGCUCUCCUAGAUAGAAUGAAAGCCAUCCAAGCCUUAAAUGAAGAGCAAAUCCAAAUGAGAAAAGUGGUAACUUAUAAUAGAAUGGCUUUGGACAUAUUCACAGCUGCUUAAGGAGGGACCUGUGCUAUAAUUAAGGUUGAAUGUUGUGUAUGCAUUCCUGACUUAUCUGGCAAUGUAUCGACUGCUUUAGAUGACGUGAAAAACCAGGUAAAAGCAACAUCAAAUGAAAACAUUCCUUUCUGGACUUCGGUCCUAUCUUGGGUGAAGGGUGGUGAUUGACGGAAAAUUGUAUUUACCAUGGCUAUAGUUUCCUUGAUAGUUCUGCCUUGUGGACCCUGCAUUUUACAAUGUAUUAGGAACUUUGUAACCCAAAGGUCUGUGAUGUUCUCCCAAAUUGGCGGUCGGAGAGCCAGGGUGCAAUAUAUCCCUAUGAAUGAUGCUCAUAAUAUGAGUUAAGAGCAUCAAGAGUGGGGAAUGAAGGAGGAAACGGACAGAGCUCUUAGGCCAGGCUGAGAACAUUAGGCUACAUGCGUGGUCACCCUCCCAAUGGACUCUGAACUUUGUGCCCAGUGUCUAUAGAAAUGGCAUACCAACGGGAAACCAGACCCCCCGGAUAAAAGAGCUUCAGGACUUGUACUUGGACUCUCCGUUGCCUAAAAGAAUAUGCUAAUUAUCUCUGUAACAGAACAAAGUGGUAAAUUCCAUUAUGUUUAUUGGGAUAUGACCACAGGCCUAUUGAUAA